UUACUUUGAAAAUGUCCUUCCCGGGCUUCUCGUUCUCACUGAUUCGCAGAUAGUAGGACACCUGAAAAAGGGAAUGUUUAGAAAAAUGUAACUAAGGAGAUCUUCCAACUUUAUUCUAAGUCCCCAAAAAGUUUUUUUUUGCAUGAAAUCUUCAAGCACCCUCUCUACACUAUACAACAACAACAACACCAACGGAAAACCGAUGAACUUCAUUUCUCAUUC
ensembl:ncRNA F25F2.5 ncRNA